AAGAGGAGACCUAUCCUGUAUGUCAUCAACUUAAUUUUUCCAGUAUUUUGUUUCCUUGUGCUGGAUGUGGCAUCCUUCUUCAUAAAUGCAUCUGCAGCAGAGAAGCUGGGUUUUAAAGUGACUUUACUGCUGUCGCUUUCUGUAUUACUGCAGAUUCUUAAUGACAGACUGGCAUCUACGGUCAGUGUUAUCCCAUUAAUAGGGAUUUACUCAUGUUCAGUUUUUAUACUUAUUGGCAUAAGCAUUCUGGAGACCAUCUUGGUGAAUAUUUUGAUUGUUAAAGGAGAAAGGACCAAAUCAGCAAUUCCAAUGAAAACCAGGAGUGUUGUAAGUGGUCUGGAUGACACAGUUACCAGUGGAAAUGAGGAGUCGACAUGUACACCUGACACUGGAAAGAGGGCCUCACUGUGCUGGACCAGAGCAGCAAAAAUUAUAGAUGUAACCUUUAUUGUCCUUUACAUAAUCACUGUUAUUGUGUUUCUGACCAUUCUUGGCAAGCGUUGGUUUCUGUUGUAAUAUUCUUUUACAAAUGAGAUGGCAUGCAAUACUAACUUUUAUUUGUAUGGUUAAAUACAAUUUUUUUUUUCAUUUUGUUUGUGGUAAGUUUAAAACAUUGUUUAUUACAAAGUUUAUUUCUGUUGUCAUUUACUGUUUUCCUCUUAUAAACAACAGGAAUGCACUGUUUAAUGUUUAAGAGCAUUUAUUUGGCCUAUAUACUGUAGUAGUAUCCAGUGAUAAACGUUGUUGUUAUUUAUUUUGGACAAUGGAAAAUCAUAUACAUUAUUUUGUGUUUUUUGUGGUUAAAUUAAUCCAUUAUUUAAUGUUAUCUUAUAUUAUCAUAAUCAGCUUUU